rnacentral:rRNA from 1 species
UACGUAGGGUGCAAGCGUUGUCCGGAAUUAUUGGGCGUAAAGAGCUCGUAGGCGGUCUGUCGCGUCUGCUGUGAAAACUCAGGGCUUAACCCUGAGCUUGCAGUGGGUACGGGCAGACUAGAGUGCGGUAGGGGAGACUGGAAUUCCUGGUGUAGCGGUGAAAUGCGCAGAUAUCAGGAAGAACACCAAUGGCGAAAGCAGCUCUCUGGGACGGGUACUGGACGCUGAGACGCGAAAGCGUGGGGAGCGAACAGG